rnacentral:ncRNA from 1 species
UUAUCGUGUGCGCAAGUUUUUGGGUGUUGAAAACCUAAAAGCGAAAUGAAAGUAAAUGACUCUUUAGAGUCUGAUGUGCGAUCUUUUUUCAAAAAAGUGCAGCAUGGCCCCAUUCUAACUGUUUACAGUAGGGUGGCGGAAGAGCGUACGCGGUGA